rnacentral:lncRNA from 10 species
CCUGCACAAGCUCUCUUUUUGCCUGCUGCCAUCCAAGUAAGAUAUGACUUGUUCCUCCUUGCCUUCUGCCAUGAUUAUGAGGUCUCCCCAGGCAUGUGGAACUAGGCAGGGCAGUCCUGGGAUCAGAGAGGUGGACAGACGGCAAACAGCGGGUGCUCCUCAGGUUCAGGCAUUUGAUUUCACUGCCCAAAUUCCUCAUUUCAGCCUGAAGAUUGAUACUGACACAUAAAGAAGUUAACCUGAUGCAGCAUCUGAGUAAAACACAGUGUAAUUAUAGAACAGCAGACCCAACCAUCAAAUACAUAAUAUGUUAUAAACAUAGUUUAAUUCUCAUCAACUAGAAAGUUAAAAAUUCCAUGUUCUACAUAAAUACUUAAUACACAACCAUGAUGAGAAAAUGGGGCUUGAUGAAGUUGAUUGCUUCAAUGAUGCAACCAGUCCUGCUUGAACUCCUCUCUGUCUGGAGGAAGGAAGGCAGAGACUCUAGAAACAUACAUGAUUCCCACAGCAUGUAUGUGCUGAGGAAGAGACUGAGUGGGUCUUGGCUUCAGGCAGGUCUGUACUCUACUGUGAUAUCAGCAGCACUCAUCCUUGAAUCUCCAAGAGCUUGUCUUCCUUCAAAAGGCUGAUUCAGACACAGAGUCUAGACUUGUUUCUCUUUUCUUAAAAGUACACAUCAGGAAGAAAACCUAAGGCCUCUUGUAAAAACAUCACUGACAUGCUUCCUGGUGAUUUCUCAGCAGCUAUUUGUCCCCCAGAUAUAUUUUUUCACUGCCAUUUCACCCAAUGUUAAUUGAAAUGCUAAACUAAAUGUUUAGCCAUCCUUGCAUGCAUGGAUAAUUAAUAAACUGAUUAUAAAAUUAUAGUGAUGAGGGAUUACUAAGCCAUGAUAAAUUACAAUCAUUAUUUCAGUCUUGACUAUAAAGAUUAUUAUAAGGAUGAUAGAGGUUUCUUAUGGAUUUUUAGUCAUUUACACAUAAUGAAGUAAAAAUGUCUUUUUCAAUUUUCAAAUAUGUCACCGAAGCCAAAAUUGGAUCUUGUCAUUUUUAAGUUUUGUAUAUGCUUGAUUUCUGUUGUAUUUGUUUCAGAUUGUGUUUGCUUCAUGAAAAGGAUGUUUUCUUUUUUCAGGUAGUGAGGGGUUUAACUACAUUUUAUUUCUCCCAAAAGCUUAUUAAUCUUGGCAAUAAAAAUUCUAUAUUUCUCCAGCAAAAUCUAAGAUGCUUACCUCAAAGCAGCUUUUGAAGUUAUUUCUAUCAGUAUUGUUCUGAUUAUGCUGUGAGGAGCCUGAGGAAUUCCUCAGAGACACCUGAGGACAGGGGCAAGGAAAAAUAUCAGAGUAGACUGGGAUGGGGGAGGAUGGAGAUGGCUCUUGCAGUCGUGAGGAACUCACCUCUGGUUGAGUUGAGCAGUUCCACUUUUGAUCUGUGUUGCAUGUUGGACUUUUACAUAAGGUUUUAUUUGAAGAAAGAUCCAUGUGGUACCAUGAAUAUUAAUAAUAUUAACUAAUAAUAAUAUUAACUAAUAAUCAAAAGGACUUGAAAUCCAAUGAUUAAAUACCUAAAUUUUAUAAAUGAGGGAACUGAGCUUCAGAGAGAGUAAAUAACUUGUUUAACAUAACACAGCUAGUAAAAAUUUGCCUGAAUUAAUUAUUCCUAAAAAUUAAAAGGCUAUGAUCAACUUAACCAAUAUUUAUCAAAUGCCUACAAAGGAAAAGGCACUAUGCCAGGCCUCCAGGGAAUAAAGAAAAUAACAACGUCACACUUCAAGUAAAUGGCAGAAUCAAGGCAUGAAUCUGAAUCUUCUUACCCCAACUAGAGUGCACUUUCCACUAUAGCAGUAUGCCCCGAAUUUGGUUUAUGAACACCUAGUCUUUCAGGAUGAUCUUCCACUUGAAAAAUUCAAUUGAAGUUUUGCAUUGCAUUUUAAAGGGUAUGAGAAGUCCUAUAGUAAAGAAAUGUGCUUAGACUACAGUUCCAAAAUUUAUUACCAUGGAAUACUAUUCAUGUCAUAUGUAUUUAUAUCCCAAAGAAUGCAAUUUGAGAAAUUCUGCACUAUCAUAGCUCUCUUUAUUAGAUUUGAAACUGAAAUCUAGCAGAGUCUUCUUUUAAAACCUACAUUUCCAUGGUUUACAUGUAACUGUGGCUUGAGAAAUGUUAAUCUCAGUGAUAAGUGUUAGACUGGAUAUACUCUUUAUAUACACAUACACAUAUUGUAUGUGGAUGUUACAGAAAAUACUAUGUCCAAAUAAGCAUAAAUUAAAUGCAGUAUACCAACUGUUAACACAGUAUUGUGUUUGCUUUAAAGUUGGCUCACACCUGUUUAAUAUUUGUCAUGAAAAUCUCAAUGCAGUUUUUAUUCCUUCUAAACAUUUAAUGCCAGCAUUAUAAUUCACUGGAAAUGUUGAAUUAAUUUUAGUAAAAUAAGGACUGAUUAAUACCUCUAGUCCAAUUUUCAGAUAAAUGACUUUCUGCAAAAGGAAAAUCAAUUUGUUUUUCUUAUAAAACACACACACCUUGCUGCAUUUUGUUUUGGUCAGAAUGUUAAAUAUAAAAAAUAAUAAAUAGCAAAAUUUCCCCCAAAAAUUCAUUUCAGGUACACCGAACAAAAAUAAUGCCAUAAACCUUGGAAGAGAACCUGUUCUCGCAAGACCAAUUUUUCAGGAUCAAAAGUGUUUAUAUAAGCUCACAAAUUUUGGAUCUUUUCCAAGACUAAAUCUCCAACACUUCUGAGGUUGGCCCAUCACUAAUAUUUACAAUAUAUUUGACAUUUCAUGGGAUGGACUCACAGGCCUUUAUGAUAGGCAGCUUCCUAAUAUGACAGAGUGCCAGAACAAUUUGCUGUGUGUGCGAAAGGCAGUAAGAUGGCACUGGCAUUUUGCAACAGGAAGGAAAUGAUCUGUAGGUACCUUGAGCCUGUUGUAUCUUGUCAGUUUUGUUAGUUGAGAAAUGUCAUUGGGGACCCAUUAGUACAUAGGCAGCCGUGACGCCCACCUGAGAAGCACUCCUUGCCAAGUGAUUUGAGACCUGUGUUUGGGCAAGGUUCCUUUUCAUAGUAUUACAUUGCAUUACAGAAAACUUACAGAAACAGGCCCUCACGCAUGCUGAUUCUUAACCCUUUAUAAGACCUAGCAUGAUGCCUUACAUUUAUUAGGCCAUUAUAAUAAGAUUUUUCAACAGGCUCAUGCCCUUACCAAUUGGUACAUGUAAAAUAAAGUGUAUUCUGAACUCUUUUAUCACACAUCCCUCUA